GCAACCCUUGAUCUUAGUUGCCAGCAUUCAGUUGGGCAUUCUUAAGGUGACUGCCGGUGACAAACCCGAGGAAGGUGGGGAUGACGUCAAAUCAUCAUGCCCCUUAUGACNUGGGCUACACACGUGCUAACAAUGGAUGGUACAAAGGGCAGCGAAGCCGCGAGGUGGAGCCAAUCCCAUAAAACCAUUCUCAGUUCGGAUUGCAGGGUGCAANUCGCUUGCAUGAAGCCGGAAUCGAUAGUAAUCGCGGAUCAGCAUGCCGCGGUGAAUACGUUCCCGGGCCUUGUACACACCGCCCGUCACACCCCGAGAGUUUGUAACACCCGAAGUCGGUGGGGUAACCGCAAGGAGCCAGCCGCUUAAGGUGGGACAGAAGAGGUGAAAGUGAAGU
rnacentral:rRNA from 1 species